rnacentral:rRNA from 1 species
CUCGUGCCGUGAGGUGUCGGGUUAAGUCCCAUAACGAGCGCAACCCUUACCGUUAGUUGCCAUCGGGUAAAGCCGGGGACUCUAGCGGGACUGCCACCGUAAGGUGAGAGGAAGGUGGGGAUGACGUCAAAUCAGCACGGCCCUUAUGUCCAGGGCUACACACGUGUUACAAUGGCCGGUACAAAGGGCAGCUACACUGCGAAGUGAUGCUAAUCUCGAAAGCCGGUCUCAGUUCGGAUCGAAGUCUGCAACUCGACUUCGUGAAGCUGGAUUCGCUAGUAAUCGCGCAUCAGCCAUGGCGCGGUGAAUACGUUCCCGGGCCUUGUACACACCGCCCGUCAAGCCAUGGAAGCUGGGGGUACCUGAAGUCUGCAACCGCAAGGAGCGGCCUAGGGUAAAACUGGUGACUGGGGCUAAGUCGUAACAAGGUAGCCGUACCGGAAGGUGUGGCUGGAACACCUCCUUUCUGGAGC